UACGUAGGGGGCUAGCGUUAUCCGGAAUUACUGGGCGUAAAGGGUGCGUAGGUGGUUUCUUAAGUCAGAGGUGAAAGGCUAUGGCUCAACCGUAGUAAGCCUUUGAAACUGGGAAACUUGAGUGCAGGAGAGGAGAGUGGAAUUCCUAGUGUAGCGGUGAAAUGCGUAGAUAUUAGGAGGAACACCAGUUGCGAAGGCGGCUCUCUGGACUGUAACUGACACUGAGGCACGAAAGCGUGGGGAGCAAACAGG
rnacentral:rRNA from 2 species